rnacentral:snRNA from 1 species
GUCCCCCUCGGGGAGACACUAGUCAAAUUUGAAACAAAACAGAGAAGAUUAGCAUUGCCCCUGCACAAGGAUGACACAUUGCGAAAAAGAAGACUUACACAUUUUU